rnacentral:misc_RNA from 1 species
GGCCCAAGCUCAUGACAAUGGAAGAGUACAAGCCAAUCCUAAUACAGAUUCUUAGAUUGUCUCAGAAAUUCUUAGAUAGACUCAGUAAUAAUAAAUAUCAGAAACAUAUAUGAAACAAAAGCAAUGCCAGAUAAAUUUAAGUAGCCAUAAUUGCUGAAGCUUUUCAUUACAAAAAUGAAAUAAAAACCAUUAAAAAGAUUGAAGCUUCAUGUUCUUAUCUUCGUCAUUAUCAUCUACUUCUUCUUCUUCCUCUUCUCCUUGGCUACUUUCAUCAAGAUCGACACUCAUUGGUAGUCCAGUCUCAUAUUUUCAGGUAGUCUACCCUUUUAUUUUCAACUAUGCAGCAAGAACAGAAGAGAAAGGUGCCGCUAAUUUAAGGGUCUAUA